rnacentral:rRNA from 1 species
AAUCAACGCUGGCGGCGUGCCUAACACAUGCAAGUCGAACGCGAAAGUCCCGCAAGGGAUGAGUAGAGUGGCAAACGGGUGAGUAACACGUGGGUGACCUGCCUUAGAGUGGGGGAUAACGUCCCGAAAGGGACGCUAAUACCGCAUAACAUCCUGCCUUUGAAGAGGUGGAGAUCAAAGCUGGGGACCGCAAGGCCUAGCGCUCAAAGAGGGGCCCGCGCCUGAUUAGCUAGUUGGUGAGGUAACGGCUCACCAAGGCUACGAUCAGUAUCCGGCCUGAGAGGGCGGACGGACACACUGGGACUGAGACACGGCCCAGACUCCUACGGGAGCAGCAGUGGGGAAUUGUUCGCAAUGGGCGCAAGCCUGACGACGCAACGCCGCGUGGAGGAUGAAG